UUUGGCCGGAGCCAAACCCAUUUGAACCCACCACCCUCGGUAUAUGGGGCCGGUGCCUUACCCAUUGAGCCACAGGCACUGCCCUAGACUCUACUUCUUGAUGGAAAGCUGCUAUGAGAAGUACACUGGCCUGGCUUCUGAGAGAGAAUAUAAAUCAGGAUUCUAAUCAGUCAGCACAGGCAGUGGGCCCCACCUCCUGCACAUCUGGGAACUGCUCUUUAUCCUUCACAUCUUGGCUGGAUAUCACCUUUCUGUCCACCCCUUCAACUCCCACCCCACUUUACUGUCUUCCCCAAGCAAGGUGCUAAACUCUUCCCAUCCUCCUCCCAACUAUGAUACUAUACCUAUUACAUCUUUUGUACUUGUUUCCACUUUUCUCUCUGUGCUGGACCUGUGUCACUUCAAGGCAUAAGUGUCCCCUUUUCAUCCUUGUAACUGCUGUGUAUGGUGCAGGGGCUGGUCCACAGAUUUGUAAAUGUUUGAAUGUCAA